GUGUAGAAAGGGUAAGAAAUUGAUAGAUGGGCCUACAGAAUCUCCUCAGGAUAGUCAGCUGGGUGAUUCAGUUGAUGAUUCCAUUUCAGAUCCGAACGUGAAAGUUUCUUCAUUAUCUGAAUCUGAUGUCGUUCGGCUUCAGGGGCAGUACCGCAUCCCGAAGCAGUUUCAACUUUCAGCAUCUAAUCCAAGUGAUCAGGUGUAUUCUUCUCCUCUCG
rnacentral:lncRNA from 1 species